rfam:Myotis davidii contig99420, whole genome shotgun sequence.
GGCUGUUCUCAGGUGAUGCACCCCGGAAUCGGGCUCCCUCCUCUCUGGUUCUGGGUGCUCCAGCUGCC